UACGGAGGAUCCAAGCGUUAUCCGGAAUCAUUGGGUUUAAAGGGUCCGUAGGCGGUUUUUUAAGUCAGAGGUGAAAUCCUGCAGCUCAACUGUAAAAUUGCCUUUGAUACUGGUUAUCUUGAGUUAUUGUGAAGUGGUUAGAAUGUGUGGUGUAGCGGUGAAAUGCAUAGAUAUCACACAGAAUACCGAUUGCGAAGGCAGAUCACUAACAAUUAACUGACGCUCAGGGACGAAAGCGUGGGUAGCGAACAGG
rnacentral:rRNA from 1 species